GUCCACGCCGUAAACGAUGGAUACUAGCUGUUGGGGGCAACUUCAGUGGCUAAGCGAAAGUGAUAAGUAUCCCACCUGGGGAGUACGUUCGCAAGAAUGAAACUCAAAGGAAUUGACGGGGGCCCGCACAAGCGGUGGAGCAUGUGGUUUAAUUCGAUGAUACGCGAGGAACCUUACCAAGGCUUAAAUGUAGAUUGACCGGACUGGAAACAGUUUUUUCGCAAGACAAUUUACAAGGUGCUGCAUGGUUGUCGU
rnacentral:rRNA from 1 species